rnacentral:tRNA from 2 species
CAUAGCUCAGCUGGAUAGAGCAACGGCCUUCUAAGCCGUGGGUCGGGGGUUCGAAUCCCUUUGG